rnacentral:rRNA from 1 species
CGGGGUGCACCAGGCGCGAAAACUUUACAAUGCCGGCAACGGCGAUAAGGGGACCUCGAGUGCCAGGUUACAAAUCUGGCUGUCGAGAUGCCUAAAAAGCAUUUCAUAGCAAGGGCCGGGCAAGACCGGUGCCAGCCGCCGCGGUAACACCGGCGGCUCGAGUGGUAACCGUUAUUAUUGGGUCUAAAGGGUCUGUAGCCGGCCGGAUAAGUCUCUUGGGAAAUCCAGCAGCUCAACUGUUGGGCUUUCAGGAGAUACUGUCUGGCUCGAGGCCGGGAGAGGUGAGAGGUACUUCAGGGGUAGGGGUGAAAUCUUGUAAUCCUUGAAGGACCACCAGUGGCGAAGGCGUCUCACCAGAACGGACCUGACGGCAAGGGACGAAAGCUAGGGGCGCGAACCGGAUUAGAUACCCGGGUAGUCCUAGCCGUAAACGAUACUCGCUAGGUGUCGGCCACGGUGCGACCGUUGUCGGUGCCGUAGGGAAGCCGUGAAGCGAGCCACCUGGGAAGUACGGCCGCAAGGCUGAAACUUAAAGGAAUUGGCGGGGGAGCACAAGGGCGAAUCGCG